GUUAUAUGGUCAAGCGAAUAAGCGCACACGGUGGAUGCCUAGGCGGUCAGAGGCGAUGAAGGACGUGGUAGCCUGCGAAAAGUGUCGGGGAGCUGGCAACAAGCUUUGAUCCGGCAAUAUCCGAAUGGGGAAACCCACUGCUUCGGCAGUAUCCUGCAGUGAAUUCAUAGCUGCUGGAAGCGAACCCGGUGAACUGAAAUAUCUAAGUAACCGGAGGAAAAGAAAUCAACCGAGAUUCCCUAAGUAGUGACGAGCGAACGGGGAGCAGCCCUUAAGCUGGAAUGGCUUUAGAAAAACAAUCUGGAAAGAUUGGCCAUAGAAGGUGAUAGCCCUGUAUUUAAAAGGGCCACUCCAGUGAAGACGAGUAGGGCGGGGCACGUGAAACCCUGUCUGAAUAUGGGGGGACCAUCCUCCAAGGCUAAAUACUCCUGACCGACCGAUAGUGAACCAGUACCGUGAGGGAAAGGCGAAAAGAACCCCGGAGAGGGGAGUGAAAUAGAUCCUGAAACCGUGUGCGUACAAGCAGUAGGAGCUCGCAAGAGUGACUGCGUACCUUUUGUAUAAUGGGUCAGCGACUUACUGUUCGUGGCAAGCUUAACCGUAUAGGGGAGGGCGAAGGGAAACCGAGUCUGAUAAGGGCGCAUAGUCGCGGGCAGUAGACCCGAAACCGGGUGAUCUAGUCAUGGCCAGGGUGAAGGUGCCGUAACAGGUACUGGAGGCCCGAACCCACGUCUGUUGCAAAAGACGGGGAUGAGCUGUGAUUAGGAGUGAAAAGCUAAUCGAACCCGGAGAUAGCUGGUUCUCCUCGAAAGCUAUUUAGGUAGCGCCUCAUAUGUAUCCUCUCGGGGGUAGAGCACUGUUAUGGCUAGGGGGUCAUCGCGACUUACCAAACCAUUGCAAACUCCGAAUACCGAGACGGACUGUAUGGGAGACACACGGCGGGUGCUAACGUCCGUCGUGAAAAGGGAAACAACCCAGACCCACAGCUAAGGUCCCAAAUUCACUGCUAAGUGGAAAACGAUGUGGAAAGGCAUAGACAGCCAGGAGGUUGGCUUAGAAGCAGCCACCCUUUAAAGAAAGCGUAAUAGCUCACUGGUCGAGUCGGUCUGCGCGGAAGAUUUAACGGGGCUAAGCAGUGAACCGAAGCUUGGGGUGCAUAAAACUUGUUUUAUGCGCGGUAGAGGAGCGUUCCGUAAGCCUGCGAAGGUGGAUUGAGAAGUCUGCUGGAGGUAUCGGAAGUGCGAAUGCUGACAUGAGUAACGAUAAUGCGGGUGAAAAGCCCGCACGCCGAAAGCCCAAGGUUUCCUUGCGCAACGUUAAUCGACGCAGGGUUAGUCGGUCCCUAAGGCGAGGGCGAAAGCCGUAGUCGAUGGGAAGCAGGUUAAUAUUCCUGCACCUCGCGUGAGUGCGAUGGAGGGACGGAGAAGGUUAGGUGUACCGGGCGUUGGUUGUCCCGGGGAAAGGCGGUAGGUUUGGAUCUUUGGCAAAUCCGGGAUCCUUUAAGACCGAGCACCGAGACGAGCCUUUAUGGCGAAGUCACUGAUACCACGCUUCCAGGAAAAGCUCCUAAGCUUCAGCUCACGAAGACCGUACCGUAAACCGACACAGGUGGGUAGGAUGAGAAUUCUCAGGCGCUUGAGAGAACUCGGGUGAAGGAACUAGGCAACAUGGCACCGUAACUUCGGGAGAAGGUGCACCCUUUUUGGUGGCUCGUGCGAGCUAUAGCUGAAGAGGGUCGCAGAAACCAGGCCGCUGCGACUGUUUAUCAAAAACACAGCACUCUGCAAACACGAAAGUGGACGUAUAGGGUGUGACGCCUGCCCGGUGCUGGAAGGUUAAUUGAUGGGGUCAGCCGCAAGGCGAAGCUCUUGAUCGAAGCCCCAGUAAACGGCGGCCGUAACUAUAACGGUCCUAAGGUAGCGAAAUUCCUUGUCGCGGUAAGUUCCGACCUGCACGAAUGGCGUAACGACAGCGGCGCUGUCUCCACCCGAGACUCAGUGAAAUUGAAAUCGCUGUGAAGAUGCAGCGUUCCCGUGGCAAGACGGAAAGACCCCGUGAACCUUUACUAUAGCUUUACACUGAACGUUGAGUUCGUCUGUGUAGGAUAGGUGGGAGGCUAUGAAACUGUGGCGCUAGCUGCAGUGGAGCCAUCCUUGAAAUACCACCCUGUCGUGCUUGACGUUCUAACCUAGGUCCGUUAUCCGGAUCAGGGACCGUGUAUGGUGGGUAGUUUGACUGGGGCGGUCUCCUCCUAAAGAGUAACGGAGGAGCACGAAGGUACGCUCAGCGCGGUCGGACAUCGCGCACUGUGUGCAAAGGCAUAAGCGUGCUUGACUGCAAGAUCGACGGAUCAAGCAGGUACGAAAGUAGGUCUUAGUGAUCCGGUGGUUCUGUAUGGAAGGCCAUCGCUCAACGGAUAAAAGGUACUCCGGGGAUAACAGGCUGAUACCGCCCAAGAGUUCAUAUCGACGGCGGUGUUUGGCACCUCGAUGUCGGCUCAUCACAUCCUGGGGCUGUAGUCGGUCCCAAGGGUAUGGCUGUUCGCCAUUUAAAGUGGUACGCGAGCUGGGUUCAGAACGUCGUGAGACAGUUCGGUCCCUAUCUGCCAUGGGCGUUGGAAGUUUGAGAGGGGCUGCUCCUAGUACGAGAGGACCGGAGUGGACGAACCUCUGGUGUUCCGGUUGUCACGCCAGUGGCAUUGCCGGGUAGCUAUGUUCGGAAGCGAUAACCGCUGAAAGCAUCUAAGCGGGAAGCGCGCCUCAAGAUGAGACUUCCCGGGGCACAAGCCCCUUAAAGGAACCAUGUAGACUACGUGGUUGAUAGGUCAGGUGUGUAAGUACAGCAAUGUAUUGAGCUAACUGAUACUAAUGAUCCGUGCGGCUUGACCAUAUAACCUCA
rnacentral:rRNA from 1 species